rnacentral:ribozyme from 1 species
AAAAAAAAAACAAAAUUGAAAUUUCUGAAAAAAAGCGCAUUCCACUUGAUUUUCAAAUUAUUUGUUUGUCGAGCUUCUUUUUCUUUUUAACGUCUAUUUGUUUCGCAACAUUUUUGAUUUGUUCAACGUGUUGAGAGUUUACGAAAAACGUUGGGAAUUGAUUUGAAUUUUUUUUUUCGCCUAUUUUUUACAAAAACAAUGACGGAAACCAAUGAG